rnacentral:rRNA from 1 species
AUACGGAGGAUCCAAGCGUUAUCCGGAUUUAUUGGGUGUAAAGAGCGCGUAGGCGGCUUGUUAAGUCAGAUGUGAAAACCGGGGGCUCAACCCGCGGCCUGCAUCUGAAACUGACAGGCUUGAGUCUGGUAGAGGAAAGUGGAAUUCCUGGUGUAGCGGUGAAAUGCGCAGAUAUCAGGAGGAACACCAGUGGCGAAGGCGGCUUUCUGGGCCACGACUGACGCUGAGGCGCGAAAGCUAGGGGAGC